UUCACAAGACUCUGGUCAGUUUCACGACAGCUGUUUUCAACCCUAUGAGGAUCAGUGAAGCUGUCCAGAAUCCCAUCAAUUUCACGCAGGGUUUCUUGGGAGCAGUGAGCAGCAGCAGAGGCAGACGUUGGAGCUAAUCACAGGUGAGGAUGACACACAAACAGGCAGGGGAGAGAUUCUGGAGACCAGCCCUGUCUCAGCAGCAGCAGCGCAGCGGAGAGGUUGCAGGGGGAGGGAGGAGCGUACAGUAGCAGAGACUCCUCCAGCCCUGGAGUAGGGAGAGGAGCUCCAGCCUCAGGCCCAGAUUCUGAGAACAGUUAAGCACACGUUUACCUGGCUGUAGCCACACCACACAGUUUUUGUACUGCUGUAACUAGGUUGGCUAGGGGAUGUGAUUUUUUUCUUUUAACCAACAUAUUUCUACUGAUACAACCCCUCACAUAGACCGUUAUAUCAGAACAGAUCCUUCCCUUUCCCGGAGAGACGCGCUAUACUGGUAUAAACACCUUUGUACUGGUAUAUCUGCACCCACGCUAGCUUACGGCCAGGUGGGACCAUUAGAUCAUCUCACCUGACCUCCUGUUUAGCCCAGGACAGAAAAUUUCAUGCCGUUCUCUCUGCACUGAGCCCAGUAACUUGUGUUUGGCUAAAGCAGAUCUUCCCAAAAGGCCUCCAGUCUGGAUCUGAAGCCUUUGAGAAGGAGCAGUGACCCCUUCCCUUGGCUCCUCCGAUGGCAUGGUUAGAAAUGUGGGCCUUAUUGGCAAUUUUGAAUUUGUCCGGCUUUAACCCCCAGCGACUGGUAUAGGAACCCCACUGGGACACUUUAAGCCGUACAAUUUUUGUGGGUAGACAAGGCCUUAGACACUUUCCAGUCAGGGAUUUAUGUGAAAGCGAAGCUCAUGAGGAAGGUCACAGGAUAGCAGCAAAGUAGAAAUGUCAGCAACCCUCUCCUUCCCCACAGCUGGGGACCUGGGUCACUGCCUUAGAUCUCUUUAGGGAGCCCCAGCCAUCCUUCCUACUACCCUCUGGCUAUGAGAUGUCUGGUAACUUUUUCAAGUCAAGUACUAAACUCUGUCCCUCUCCACAACAGGUAUAAUAAUAAUCAAACAUGACGCUUCACCCCCUCUGCAGCUCAGGUUCCUAAAGCCUGUGGCUCUGCACACACUCAGGGCUUGUGACAAACAAGGGGAACUCCUUACGGUCAUAAGUGAUGAUUUCUUCUCCAUCCUCCUCCUCCAUUGCUCUGUUUGCGAUCAGCACAAAGUCCCUCUUGUUGCACUCCACACACCCCACGUAGUUGAGCAGGAAGGAUCCGUUCUCCAGGCAGGUGUUACCCUA